rnacentral:rRNA from 1 species
GAAGGGAGCUUGCUCCCGGACGUUAGCGGCGGACGGGUGAGUAACACGUGGGCAACCUGCCCCUUAGACUGGGAUAACUCCGGGAAACCGGAGCUAAUACCGGAUAAUCCCUUUCUCCACCUGGAGAAAGGGUGAAAGAUGGCUUCGGCUAUCACUAGGGGAUGGGCCCGCGGCGCAUUAGCUAGUUGGUAAGGUAACGGCUUACCAAGGCGACGAUGCGUAGCCGACCUGAGAGGGUGAUCGGCCACACUGGGA